rnacentral:rRNA from 1 species
UACGAAGGGGGCUAGCGUUGCUCGGAUUUACUGGGCGUAAAGGGCGCGUAGGCGGAUUUCUAAGUCGGGGGUGAAAGCCCGGGGCUCAACCCUGGAAUUGCCUUCGAUACUGGAAGUCUUGAGUACGGGAGAGGUGAGUGGAACUCCGAGUGUAGAGGUGAAAUUCGUAGAUAUUCGGAAGAACACCAGUGGCGAAGGCGACUCACUGGCCCGUAACUGACGCUCAUGCACGACAGCGUGGGGAUCAAACAGG